ACCAAUACUCACCAAAACUGUUGUGUUGGAGGAGGGCGAAUUUGCCAUCUAUAAUUUUGUAUUUAGUUCAGUUUGGCACUAAAAAAUGAGUUUUGAUUUACGAGAUGAGAUACAUCAUUCAACCUCAUUAAAAAUACAUACAUUUACAGAAUGGUGCUUCAUUACCCUCCUCACCUCACCCACAAUAAAGCGGACGACGAACACGCAUCGAGCUGGAAUUUAUGGGAACAAUGGUUUUCUGAUGGUAUCGUGCAAUGAUGGUCUUAACCCAAUGCAAGCUGCUGUCUGUGCAAUAAUAGAAGAAAGUUUUAUCAAGAAGGACAACAUGUGUGCAGCUUUUCUUCAUUCUAAGAUCUUAACUCCUCUUGUUUCAUAAAGCACUAGGAGCAAAAAUACUUGCAUUUGUGGAAUACCCAUAUAUAUUUGAUACCUCCGUUUCCUUCAAAUAAAUCUCGGUUCACGAAAAUAAAUUACUUGCCAGUGUGCAGUAGAUUAGUUCACAAAAAUAAAUUACCAUAUUUGUUUGUAGUUGUAUCCCUGACUAAUAAAGAGUUGGUUCGGUGCUGCAGUAUCAAUUCUUAUUAUAAAAUGGGUCUUCUUAUGAUGUUCUUAUUAGUAUCGUUACUCCAUCUGGAGAAUGAUGUUUACUCUUUCAGCUAACAGCAUAUUUGAAACAAAAAGUUCCUUGUCAUUUUCAUUUGUAAAAUUAAAUUUGUAGUGUGAAUCUGUUAUGCUUAAUCAUGGUGGGGGUCCUUUGGAAGUUGUUCCUGGCUCCAGGCAUAAUUCUGCUAGCUACAGAGCUUCAAAUCCAUAAGUACAGCUUAACAAUUUGGAUUUCAAUCAUUCUUUCUAUCCAUUAUGGUUUGGUUUUAAAUGCUUUGAGAGCUUUUUAUUAAGAUUUUGUAUGAUUAAGAACCUAAAAAAUACCUUGAAUGCCCUCAAUAUUUAGAGUUAGUUAUAGUGAUUUUGUACAGAGCUUUUGCCUGCAAAGGUUGUCCGUGUUACUCUACGGGUCAUCUGGCAGCAUAUGUAAGGAUGAUAGGAAACUGUUAAAAAGCUAGGCUAAUAGGAAAUUGUCAGAUGUAAGUCCUCAUGUCUUCAGCUCACAAAUGGCAUGCAUGCCAAAUAUUAAAAUGACGUUGUUAAAGAAGAUAUAUGUAGGAAAUUUCUAUGAUUGUUAUUUAUUGACAGUUUAUGCAUCUUCCUGAUUGUACAGAAACUUAUAAUGCAGUCUAUCAAAGCAUUGUUUUUUCAGCUCAGAUCUUAGAAAAUUAGAAUGUCGUAUGGAUUUACUAAUUGUGGAGAUAAAUCUUAUAGCAGGAAUAUGUGUAUUUUACUUUGUAGGCAAAGUAGGCAUGUUAGUUCAUGCGGUUUAUGACAAGAGUUUUGAAAAACCAGGGGUGGGCAAGCUGUCAUCAAUUAUAUUUGCUUACCUGUACUCAUCAGCAAUAUAAUAAAGCAAAAUUAUGUUAUCAAACAUACUCUGGUUUAUUUAAAGUUUCACCUUGCAAGAGUUAGUUCAGGGUUUACGGUGUGAUAGUGUUUGUAUUAUAUGGAACUUCUGCAGCAAUCCAUGAUAAAGCUCCACAAUAAAACCUCUUUUUUAAGUUAGAUGUCUUAUUUUGUGAACCCUUGAUAACGCAAGAAUUAAUUGUGCUAUAGUU